rnacentral:rRNA from 1 species
UACAUGGGGUGCAAACGUUGCUCGGAAUUAUUGGGCGUAAAGCGCGCGUAGGCGGUUAUCUAAGUCGGAUGUGAAAGCCCUCGGCUUAACUGAGGAAGUGCACCCGAAACUGGAUAGCUAGAGUACGAAAGAGGGUCGCGGAAUUCCCGGUGUAGAGGUGAAAUGCGCAGAUAUCAGGAGGAACACCGAUGGCGAAGGCAGUUCUCUGGGCCGUAACUGACGCUGAGGAGCGAAAGCGUGGGGAGCGAACAGG